rnacentral:rRNA from 1 species
GAUGAACGCUGGCGGCGUGCCUAAUACAUGCAAGUCGAACGCGAAAGGUCUGAAGCCUUCGGGCGGAGGGCCGAGUAGAGUGGCGAACGGGUGAGGAACACGUAGGUGACCUGCCCCGGAGAGGGGGAUAACCGUCGGAAACGGCGGCUAAUACCCCAUAAGCUCACGCGAGUUAGAGGGCGUGUGAGAAAAGCUCCGGCGCUCCGGGAGGGGCCUGCGGCCCAUCAGCUAGUUGGUAGGGUAAAGGCCUACCAAGGCGAAGACGGGUAGGGGGCCUGAGAGGGUGGUCCCCCACAUGGGAACUGAGACACGGUCCCAACUCCUACGGGAGGCAGCAGUAAGGAAUAUUGCACAAUGGGCGCAAGCCUGAUGCAGCAACGCCGCGUGCCCGAGGACGGCCUUCGGGUUGUAAAGGGCUUUUCUGGCUGAAGAGGAAGGACGGUAGGCCAGGAAUAAGCGUCGGCUAACUACGUG